AUGAUAAAGACUAAAGGGGAUGAUGAUGAUCUUGGCAAUCUUUUCUUUGCUGAAGUAACACGUAAGGAUCACAAAGAUUACGCCCUCAGCCGUAUCUGCAUGCUUCAGUCUGAUGAUAAUGGUCAAUGCUAUGGUUGUACCUGUACUGGGCGUGUUGAUAUGAAACAUCCCAGUGAUGAAAACUACAGGCAUGGUGAUCCGAACACACCUUUGCCAUGCAUGGGUUUCAUCAAUGCAGAUCUUCUAACCAGUAUGUCAGAGUGGACUGCUAUAUAUAACGAAGAUGAGCUGAAAGCACAAGAGGAUAGGGUGAGGCUUGAAUGCAAGAUGCUUUAUGAUCCGGAUUCAGCAAGAGGCAAGGAAGAUACUGAUGAAGACUUUGAUGGCCAGAGAAGGACGGCGAAAUAUGUUGUACCAUCUAGGCGCUUACUAAUUUCGGGCGGUGGUGUGUGA
rnacentral:rRNA from 1 species